AAAAUUGAGUUAGACAAGUUAAGUAACUGCUCAGAGCUUUAUAUACACUAAAUAUCAGAAUUAGGCUUUAUCUCAGAACUCUUUGACUCCAAGAUACAGGAAAUUAAGAACUAUUAUACUUUCUCUAUUUCUAAAUGUAAUACAAUUCACACAUUUUAAAUAUCUUAAGUGUCAAUAUCUGCCGUACAUUAAAACAAGCUACAUCAGAGAAAGUUUAUUGUCUUUUUAAGUAUUAUUUGGAAAAAAAUCUUAACUAUGUACAUAUAUAUUUAAAACUACCUAGAAUAUAUUUUCAACAAUAGAAAAUCAAAUGAAGUAAUAAAUGCUGUGGUCCGAAUAUCUGUGUCCUCUUCAGAUUUUUAUGUUGCAAUCUUAACCUUAAGUUAAUGGCAUUAAGAGGUAAGUCCUGUGGGAGGUGAUACACUGAUGGGGACAUCCCAUUAAGUAACCAGUGGGCUAAGGCAGCUCAUUUGCCAUUUCUACAGUGUGAGAAUGCAGCAACAAGGUGCCAGCUAUGAAGCAAAGAGCCCUUACCAGACAAUGAAUCUACUGACAACUUGAUCUUGGACUCUUCAGCUUCCCAAACUGGUUACCAACUAUAUCACAUAAUGGUCCUAAGGAUUAAAUGAAAAAAAAUGCAGUAAGAUAAAGCUGAUUUAUCAAGGUUGGGGAAAUGCAAUAAAGAAAGAGGUUAAUAAUUCACAGAGCCAGCUGAAUAGAAUACCAGAGUUUUAUUUCUACACAAAUCAGUCUCCCAGCCAUGGUCCAGGCUUGAGGGUGGAGCCCUCACGAGAGACCUCACCAUUUUCUACCUAGUAUUUCCCUGUCUCCUGUCUAUAUCGCAGAGCAUUAAAUUGAAGCCAAGGGACUGAAAUAAGAAACUCCAGAGAACAACAAGAGGAACUGAAAUUGCAUGGUCAUUAGAAGGCAUCUUAAGAAUAACUGUGUAGCAGAGAAUGAGGACUCAUAUCAAAGUUUGAUUCUUUUAGUAUUGGAUUUUAUGUAAGUAAAAUUUUUAGUAUAGUCAAACAAAUAUUAUCGUCAAUAUAUUAAUGUUCAUAUUUACAUUUUCAUCAUGAUGCAGAAGAUGAAAACACUAAACAGACUAUUUGCUAAUGCUGAAAAUCUUUAGUAUUUAGGUAAGAGUUAUAUUAUACAUAAAAUAAAAAUAAUAUAAACUAAGCAUAACUGAAACGUGCUUUUUAAGACCUUGGUUUUGUUUAAAUCUAAAAAUCAAAUACAAAUGUAAUAUAAAGUUCAGUGUGUAACUAUGACAAAAAAUAUUUUGAGUUUAGGAAAUAAGCUGUAGUAUCUGGAAUUUCAAGAGGUAUAUAUAAUACAUUAUGAGAAGGAGUACUUUAAAGGUCAAAAGAAGGGAAAAUAAUAAUUUAAAGCUCAAUAAAUGAAUUCAAAUCCA
rnacentral:lncRNA from 10 species